UAGCAGAUGACCCUCAUUUGUAAUGUAUCAUAUAAAGGCAAAAACUGUUUUUAAAAAGGAUUGCAUCUUUAUAUGGUAGUAUUAUUGCAACAGCAGUAAUGUGCAGUGUGUUUGGGAUGUCACAGAAAUAGCAGUAAUGUGCAGUGUGUAUGGGAUGUUACAGAGAUAGUAGUAAUGCGCAGUGUGUAUGGGAUGUUACAGAGAUAGUAGUAAUGCGCAGUGUGUAUGGGGUGUUACAGAGAUAGCAGUAAUGUGCAGUGUGUAUGGGAUGUCACAGAGAUAGCAGUAAUGCGUAGUGUGUAUGGGGAUGUUACAGAGAUAUCAGUAAUGUGCAGUGUGUAUGGGGUGUUACAGAGAUAGCAGUAAUGCGCAGUGUGUAUGGGGUGUUACAGAGAUAGCAGUAAUGCGCAGUGUGUAUGGGGUGUUACAGAGAUAGCAGUAAUGCACAGUGUGUAUGGGGUGUUACAGAGAUAGCAGUAAUGCGCAGUGUGUAUGGGAUGUUACAGAGAUAUCAGUAAUGCGCAGUGUGUAUGGGAUGUUACAGAGAUAGCAGUAAUGUGCAGUGUGUAUGGGGAUGUUACAGAAAUAGCAGUAAUGUGCAGUGUGUAUGGGGGGUUACAGAGAUAGCAGUAAUGCGCAGUGUGUAUGGGGUGUUACAGAGAUAGCAGUAAUGCGCAGUGUGUAUGGGAUGUUACAGAGAUAUCAGUAAUGCGCAGUGUGUAUGGGGUGUUACAGAGAUAGCAGUAAUGCGCAGUGUGUAUGGGGUGUUACAGAGAUAUCAGUAAUGCGCAGUGUGUAUGGGGUGUUACAGAGAUAGCAGUAAUGCGCAAUGCGCAAUGUGUAUGGGAUGUCACAGAGAUAGCAGUAAUGCGCAGUGUGUAUGGGGUGUUACAGAGAUAGCAGUAAUGCGCAGUGUGUAUGGGGUGUUACAGAGAUAUCAGUAAUGCGCAGUGUGUAUGGGGUGUUACAGAGAUAGCAGUAAUGCGCAGUGUGUAUGGGAUGUUACAGAGAUAGCAGUAAUGCGCAGUGUGUAUGGGGUGUUACAGAGAUAGCAGUAAUGCGCAGUGUGUAUGGGAUGUUACAGAGAUAGCAGUAAUGCGCAGUGUGUAUGGGGUGUUACAGAGAUAGCAGUAAUGUGCAGUGUGUAUGG